GCUGAGUUUAUAUAGUGUACUCAGCAUGUAAAGUUAGCAUGCAACUAUUUAGCAUGUUAAUUAAUGUUAACAUCAAAUUGGAAUAAGUAAAAUAUCAUACGUAUUGCAUAUUUGUAACAUAUUGUAAUUCGUAAAAUACUUAAACAUCCUACAAAUCGUAUUAUAUUGUACGACUCAUAUUACAUUCAUAGGCCAGUGUCAUACUAAAGUGAGCGGUAUGGAUUUUUGUAAGAUAUAAUACGUUUUGAUCUGACACCAAGUUGUCCCUCAGGGCUUUGACCGUUGCUGCAUCUGUGGAUCGCUCUGGAUGGGCGUCUGUCAGAUGACUAAUGUGAUGUAGAUGUCAAGCGGCUUCACUGCAAAUAGAUCGUAUGUUUUAAAUAUUCAACAAUGAUAAUAAAAUAAAAAGCUAUUCCUCUGCAGAUAGAGAUGGUGUGAUGAUCAGUUCUCUGUGGGAAUGAGUUAGUAGAUACAUGUAUCAGAUAGAGAUGAUGUGAUGAUCAGUUCUCUGUGGGAAUGAGUUAGUAGACAACAGGUAUCAGAUGAGAUGAUGUGAUGAUCAGUUUUCUGUGGGAAUGAGUUAGUAGACAACAGGUAUCAGAUAGAGAUGAUGUGAUGAUCAGUUCUCUGUGGGAAUGAGUUAGUAGACAACAGGUAUCAGAUAGAGAUGGUGUGAUGAUCAGUUCUCUGUGGGAAUGAGUUAGUAGACAACAGGUAUCAGAUAGAGAUG